rnacentral:rRNA from 1 species
AAGGAUUCACGAAAAUCUUUAUUUAUUAAUUAUAAAUAAUAAAAACUAAACCCCAGGUGAAGAUGCCUGGAUAUAAAUGAAAGACAAGAAGACCCUAUAGAGUUUCAGCACAUAAUUACCUCUUUUAAUAAUUACUUUGAUUGGGGCGAUUAAGGAAUUUUCUCUAACCUCCUAAAACUCAUAAGAAAAUACUUCAAUACAUUAAUCCUCUAUACCUAAGAAUUUAAACUAAACUACCUUAGGGAUAACAGGCUUAUCUUCCUAACGAGUUCAAAUUUACAGGAAGGUUUGGCACCUCGAUGUUGGCUUAGAGUAACCGAAUAAAGCAAAAAUUAUUCUUGGUUAGUUUGUUCAACUAUUAAUCCUCU